rnacentral:rRNA from 1 species
UACGUAGGGGGCAAGCGUUGUCCGGAUUUAUUGGGCGUAAAGAGCGUGUAGGCGGCCAGGUAGGUCCGUUGUGAAAACUCGAGGCUCAACCUCGAGACGCCGAUGGAAACCAUCUGGCUAGAGUCCGGAAGAGGAGAGUGGAAUUCCCGGUGUAGCGGUGAAAUGCGCAGAUAUCGGGAAGAACACCCGUGGCUAAGGCGGCUCUCUAGGACGGUACUGACGCUGAGACGCGAAAGCGUGGGGAGCAAACAGG